rnacentral:lncRNA from 1 species
GGAAAAUGAAAUCCAUGUGACCGCUCCCUCUCUUUUGUUAUCUCUCUCUUUCCUUUGGAUGAACACGUGCCCGGGCUGAGAGCCUAAAUUUUGUAUACUUCCCAAGUUUGACUUGGAUCCGGUAUGGCCCACCUUAUCAUAACUCUCCAUGCGACUUCCUUUAUGACCAUAUGAUCUUAGACAGUCUGAUCAUGAGGCUGAGGUUGAGUUAACAUAGUUGUCUCCCUCAAAGCCCCUCUUGGGCCAACACGCACUUGGGCCUCCUUUGGGUCUUAUUG